GUAAGGAAUAUUGGUCAAUGGACGAAAGUCUGAACCAGCCAUGCCGCGUGGAGGAUGAAGGUCCUCUGGAUUGUAAACUUCUUUUAUAUGGGACGAAAAUGGGGCUUUCUAGCUCAACUGACGGUACCAUAUGAAUAAGCACCGGCUAACUCCGUGCCAGCAGCCGCGGUAAUACGGAGGGUGCAAGCGUUAUCCGGAUUCACUGGGUUUAAAGGGUGCGUAGGUGGAUUGGUAAGUCAGAGGUGAAAUCUCCGGGCUCAACUCGGAAACUGCCUUUGAUACUAUCAAUCUUGAAUAUUGUGGAGGUUAGCGGAAUAUGUCAUGUAGCGGUGAAAUGCUUAGAUAUGACAUAGAACACCAACUGCGAAGGCAGCUGGCUACACAUAUAUUGACACUGAGGCACGAAAGCGUGGGGAUCAAACAGGAUUAGAUACCCGUGUAGUCC
rnacentral:rRNA from 1 species